CUGGAGGUAUCAGAAGUGCGAAUGCUGACAUAAGUAACGAUAAAGCGGGUGAAAAGCCCGCUCGCCGGAAGACCAAGGGUUCCUGUCCAACGUUAAUCGGGGCAGGGUGAGUCGACCCCUAAGGCGAGGCCGAAAGGCGUAGUCGAUGGGAAACAGGUUAAUAUUCCUGUACUUGGUGUUACUGCGAAGGGGGGACGGAGAAGGCUAUGUUGGCCGGGCGACGGUUGUCCCGGUUUAAGCGUGUAGGCUGGUUUUCCAGGCAAAUCCGGAAAAUCAAGGCUGAGGCGUGAUGACGAGGCACUACGGUGCUGAAGCAACAAAUGCCCUGCUUCCAGGAAAAGCCUCUAAGCAUCAGGUAACAUCAAAUCGUACCCCAAACCGACACAGGUGGUCAGGUAGAGAAUACCAAGGCGCUUGAGAGAACUCGGGUGAAGGAACUAGGCAAAAUGGUGCCGUAACUUCGGGAGAAGGCACGCUGAUAUGUAGGUGAAGUCCCUCGCGGAUGGAGCUGAAAUCAGUCGAAGAUACCAGCUGGCUGCAACUGUUUAUUAAAAACACAGCACUGUGCAAACACGAAAGUGGACGUAUACGGUGUGACGCCUGCCCGGUGCCGGAAGGUUAAUU
rnacentral:rRNA from 1 species